AAUGAAUUAGAGAAUAUAGCCAUCUAAAAAUCUAAUCAUCCAAGAAUCAGCAUGUAGAGCCAGGCUUUUCAAUUUCCAUACUAUAUACAGACCUCAGAAGAGAUUGUUUAAAUUAAUGGGCAAGGCAAGAGCAAGAUCAAUAAUUUUCUGCAAAUUUUAAGCUAACACAUUCUACACAAUAGUUUGUAUCUGCAAACAUUCAACAGAUCCAGUAAGUAUCUUAGAAAAAAAACAAGAACAUCCAUGUAAAUCAGCUCAUUUCAAUGCCAAGGAGCAAUUAAUGGGAAACCCUUCAAUGUUUAAGCUUAAGAAAAGGAAAUUUUUCCUUCAUCAAAUUUCAAGAACGAAAUGUAUUCAUUUUGCAGAUGAAGAUUUAUUAAUCAAUCUCAACGUGUAAGGAAAACCUUUUUCCUUGCCACUAUUUUCACAGUAAAUGGACAAAACAGGUUGUUAGCCUGAGCCUUAAAAAUACAACGGCCACUGGCAAUUUGAUA
rnacentral:misc_RNA from 1 species